GGUAAGACCCGUGGGAGACUACCACGAGAUAGGUCAGAGGUGUAAGUGCAGUAAUGUAUUAAGCUGACUGAUACUAAUAGGUCGAACACUUGACCAG
rnacentral:ncRNA from 1 species